rnacentral:misc_RNA from 1 species
CCAGCCUUCAAGCUCUGCUUGGUGUUGAAUGUCGUCCGGCGCCCUCGGCCGCCGGACGCGUUCGAAAAUCGUUGGCGGUGAAACUGGUUGUCCACCUCAAGCGUACCAUUUUAGUUUUCUAAGACUAGCUUGUGGAGGCGGCCAGACCGGCUUCGAAAACUCACACAUUUUCUA